rnacentral:sRNA from 1 species
CAGAGGUGUGUUUACUCAAAUCUCUCUCAAGCCCUAACUCUACACUAUUAGAUCUCUCUGCAACCCUAACUUUAACUCUCCACUCUCCUUCUCUAUUUUCACUUUCAUAUACAGAACCACUUCCGAAUCUUAUGGUUUCAUCAUCCUCUUCACUUUCCCUUCAUUUUUAACCGAUUAAAACCAUUUUUCUACUGAUUAAAACCCUUUCUGCCAUUUGUUCUUCGAUUUCCACCGAUUAAACCUCCAUUUGCGCCGGUUAAACACUUUUGUACCGAUCAAUGUUGUGUUUGAACCGAUUAAUCGGUUCAUUUUAUGUUUCUCCCCAUUUUUAGGGUUCCUUCGGUCCAGAUUAGGGUUCUUUCUCCAUUUUGGAGCUUUCCCGCAAUCGUUCUGGCUUCUAUUCAUUCGUUUAGGGUUUUUUAACAUUUUCUUCCAAUCAUUCUCCGUUUCGCUCUCGAUCUCGAGUUCGUCUCAUUAUUUCGCUGCGUUUUCUCAUCAAGGAAGCUUCGAAGGAGUUCAAGUCGAGUCCGCAUCGGUCUUUUGGUCAUCUCCUUGGAGGCUCUUUCGUCAAGUGGCCGCAAAAUCAAUCACACCCGACGACGUUUCAGCGCUCCUUCGAGCCUGCUACUCUUUUGAAACCCAAAGAAGAGGUUGGAUUGAAGACUGAAGGUGCUGUAGGGAUUGUUUUGAACCAAAAGCAGGAAGUGGUGACAAAAUCUGCUGUGGAGAUUCUAAACGAUCAACAUAGAAAUUCGGCUCCUGUUGCACUCUUGGCAAUGACGCGUAGGGUGCGUCCUCUCGUUUCAUGAAAGUGGGGUUGAUCAAUUAGUAGAGAUAAUCAAGGUGUGGAGGCUAUAGUAAAAAGGAACCUGGUGAAGUACUGACACUUCAGAAGCGAGUGUUAGCAGUGCUAAAUGAGGCAAGGAAUAAUUUGGAUGGUAAGAUUGUUAAGAGAGGGGAUUAUGCGAUAGCAGCAACGAGGGCGGUUUAUUAUGUUACCCUUGUCAAUCACAGUAGUGCCUCAAAGUGAAACAAGGAGUAGACGAUGUUUCAGGUGAAGCCGAAGACGUUUAGAGCAAGGAUGCGUUGGGAAAAAUAAUUGGGACUUUUAAAUAUGUAUUUUAAAUUAUGAAACGUUGUGGUUUGUAAUUUUAAACAGCUUUUAAGGUUCGGUUGGUAAUCUAAUAAUUACUCUUUAAAAUUCUGACCUUAUUAUUUUUCGAUAUAAAAUAUUGUGUGUUUAAAUGUAAUUAAACAUCUUGAAAAAAAUUUUGUGACACUCCGAGAAGGGUUGUUACAGUUUGGACUUGGCAUAGGAAGUAUUAUAUAAGUCAACAACGUUAAGAGGUUUAUAUUAUGUCGACGAAUGGAUGAAUGAUCAUUUAAAGGAAAUGGUG